rnacentral:misc_RNA from 1 species
GCUGGCGGGCACUCGCAGUUUCCUCGUCGGAGUCCCGCGUGCGCGCCGCCGCCGCGUCCGCGUGCUCGAACGUCUGGCCGCCGCCCGUGGAUCGGACAUGACGACGCAUGCCACCCGCAGCCCUCGCUGCUUCGGCCCAGAGAUACCGCGGAAAUGGCUGACGGCGGCGAAGUAACGGCUGUCGCGCUGGCAACCUGCUGCGCUUCGUUGUGACGUAUGGGACCAGACACGCGGCGAGAGACGCCGAGUACGGCACCGAACCAGUUCAUCGUUUUCCAGUGUAACCGAGCUUUCGGUUGCACGUCAAGGCAUCCCCAGGUGGUGGAAAUUAAUUAAAGGUUCUUCACUGAGGUGUUCAGAUGCCCUUCAGUUGUUUGGCACGUGAAAAAAAAAAUGAUUUUGAUAUAGUUCACGUUUUCCUACUUUUACUGUUUCCUUCCUUCCUAUUUUUUUGCUACUGAAUAUUUCACACAUCUCUCAAUGCGUGACGAGCUGCCUCCUUGACUGUGCUCAAUUAGGCUGUGCGCGUUAAACCCCGGAAUCGUCUGGCUUGGUCUGGCCCGUUUUGAGCACAGUCUGCGGGCGCGAGAUUUUGUUUUUCCGAGGUGCUCAGUGUGCAAUGAGCACGUGGACGUCGGGGCGUUCAGUCCACUGAACCCUUGCAACUUUUCCGUUGCCCUGACAAGAUGGCGGAUGGGAUACAAAACGGAGGCUCCGUCAGGAUCUAUAGGAACUUUUGUAUGAGAGUUUCUGCGCUGGCGAUAACGAUACCGGAUGGCGAUAUGGCGCACGAGCGAAUUGGCGCCGGCGGAUUAUCGGGUGUCGUUAUCGGAAUGCCAAAAGCCAUCUGCUAAACCUCCCUAAUGGCGACUGUGGGGCUAGGUGGUACC